UCCCUGGUGGUCCAAUGGCUGAGACUCUGAGAUCCCAGUGCAGGGGGCCCAGGUUCAAUUCCUGGUCAGGGAA
rnacentral:tRNA from 1 species